UCCCCAUCUCUUAGGAACUCCCCAUGAGACCUGAGUAGCCACUAAUCUAUUUCCAGUUUAUCUGGAUUUCCUCUCCCUGCCAUUUCACACAUAGGGUAUGUGCUCUUUUCUGUCUGGGUUCUUUCAGUUGGCAAGAUGUUCUCACAUGUCACCCAUGUUGCGGCACAUGUGUGAGCCUCAUUCCUUCAUACAGUUGAAUAACAUCCUGCGGUCUACUUAGAUCAUCUUUUGUCUGUCCGUUCAUCAGUUGAUGGACAUCUGUUUUUUUCCAUCUUUUGGCUGCUCUGAAUAUCACGGCUAUGAACAUUUGUGACCCAGUUUCCCUGUGGAAACCAGGGCCAGGUUGACCAAAAGGAGUGCAGGACACAGGGUAAGUUCAAAUUUGCCUUUUUUCUGCCCAGUAAGUAUCUUUUUCCCCAGUCCUGUUCUCAGCCUUGGGCCCUACCCUGCUCCCCAGCCCCACUCCAUCCUCCACCCACUGUCUCUCUUGCACCCUGGCUCUCUCCCCUUGGUGCUAGCCUCAACUCCUGCCUCAAGUUCAUGUGUACAGGAGAGCCCCUGGUCCUGCCCAGCCUGGUGCUCCCAGGGUAUGCUGGAGCCUGCAGAGGACGCUGGCCCUGCCUGACCUCCUCAAGCUGUACUAAGGACACCUAGUCAGGUACCCCCUCAGUGGGCCUGCACAUAGUAUCCUGUUUGGGGACUGGGCUCCUCCUAGUUCCCGAGGGCCACAGCAUCUCACUCUCAGCACUGCCUCCAGGUGCAGAGGCCCGUGUCAGC
rnacentral:lncRNA from 1 species